rnacentral:lncRNA from 1 species
CUCUCUCUCUCUCUCUCUCUCUCUCUCUCUCUCACUAUAACAUUUCCUUCAUAGGAUUUAUGUUAACCAUUCUAAAUUAUGUCUUUAAUUGGUUUUUAUUUUGAAUAUGAACAACUCAUUCUAUCACAGUUUAGUUUUCUAUUUUAAACAAAUUUAACACCACCAACAUAGGAUGAAGCAGGAGUAUCAAAAUCAAGUUUUGUUUGAUGGGAAAAAAUCUUACUUUACUGUGGUUGCAGGUUGCAAUCUUAUGUUUUUUUUUUUCUUCCGUAUUUUAUGGAUGGUGGUGUGGCUAGAUUUGAAAUUCAUACGCUGAAGAUGAUGAAGAGUGAUGCUUUUAUGAGAAGAUGAAAUUUGGACAGGUUUCUUUUCCCUCCACAUAUUUCUUUUUGUUGUUAUGAUUUCGUUUUUUGAUCAUUUUGUCUCAUUUUGUUGUGAGUUUAUGUUAGGCAUUUCAUUUUAUCUCAUUCUAUUUUUGUUAGGCAAAUUCAAUAUUGUGAAGCUUGAAAGAAGAAUGACUAUAUAUGCAGCUUGAAAGAAAAAAGAUACAAUUGGAAAAUAAAAGAAGAAUUAUAUCACAUAUUUUAGGCUUUAUGUGUAGUUCGUGAGAUUGAUACCGAUGUCUGCAAAAUUUUAUGUAAAGUAUCUAAACCUUUGCUCUUUAAUCAUUAUAUCAACUAUUUCUAAAUCUUUUCUCUUUAAACUUUCUAUUUUUCUACUACUUCGUUAGUUAUUUCAUCUAUUUCUUGCUUCAUUUCCUCUAUUUCAUGCUUCUGAUUGAGUAUCAUCCUAUUUUUGUUGAAUUAUGCAUUAGCCUUAGUUAGCAUAGCUCCAAAAUAUAUGCUUAUGAAAUGUGUUUCUUUAUUUUCAUAUACAGAUGUGUGCUUAACUAUUCAGAGCUGGUUCAAGGUAAUUUUCUGCAUAAUUUGGAGCGAGAUCGAGGUGAUUUUCUGCAUAAUUUAGAGCUGGUUUUCGGCAUGUGGACUAAUGUAAUGCAACAGCAGUGUUUUGGUAUUGCAGCUGCUACGUAGUGGUAUUUUUUCCUCCCUAUGUUCUGAUUUUUCUCUGUGGUCCAGCUGCACCAUAUCGGUUUUAUUUUCUUCUCUUUGCCUUUGUUUUCUGUGUGUUUUGGCUCAAUUUACAAAAAAAUUAUUGUCUUUUUAACUGGCUGUUUGUAUUGUUCUCCUGUUAGUUUUUCUGAAUAGGUUGUUGUAGUUUGGCUCUAUAGUGUAGUUGAUUUUGCUUUGUUUUCUUUGGGAUUGUUUCUUAUGUUCUCUUGGUUCUUAUUUCCUUGGGUUUCUAUUACUGCUACUGCAUAACUACUGUAUUUCAUGUUGUCUUUUUAUAAUGUUCAUUUAAAUUUUAUGUAGUGUCAACUAUAGGUAAUCCUUACAAAAAUAAGUUAACAACCUUACAUGGACAUUCAAGAACUGCUUGGGCUGCCAAUUGCAUGCUUAAUUUGUGAGUAUAAGUUUGGAACUAUUUGUUGAUUGUAAUUUUAUUAGUGUAAGUCAACUGAUAAAGGUUAAUCAAUAAUCACUCUCUUUCGUCUACAAUUUUUUUCUUUGUUAUAAUGGUUAUUCUUUGUUGUCGACUUCAUAGAUUUAUCAAAGAUCAAAUGCUAUCGAUUUUGAAUAACUCAGUUGGACCAAGCAUGGCUCAUUCCAUAUCAAUUUAAGAUUGCAAGUAUCUUUUAUUUUUCUAUGCUUAAUUGAAAUAAAUGUGCCCCUGUUGGUAGUUAUUUUAAAUUGGAUAGAAGAAAAUGUUGGAGAAAUGUGAAAUUGAACAGCAAGAAGACAAUUUAUCAAUCUAACAAUUAAAGUCUUUGUAAAAUCACGGAUCUCAUAUUCUGCAGCGUGCUAUAAAUGUAUGUUUGAUUGCAAGUUGCAACUAUAUCAGUUUGUUUUGAGUUGUAAGUAAAAAGUAAAUAUUGAGAUUUUGAGUCUAUUUUAGCAAUUUUGAUCAAUUUGUAAGGUAUUAGCCACUAUUUGAAAGUUCUUUCUUUGCUUGGUUUUAUGAUUUUUCAAGGAGCAUUACUUUGUGUGGCUAAUUUAGAUUGAUAGAGCUAUUCUUUUGUUGCACAUGAUUUGGCAGAUGUGGUGUGUAUUUAUAUACGUUCUCGAGCUGGUGCGGCGCCAACAUGCCUUCAAAAUUAUAGGCAUCUCAAUCAGGAAUACACCCUCCGGUCACUAAUAUAAGCAAAAAAUUACAUUUUAGGUUCAUUCAUUUAAUGAUGUAUGUGGUCUAUAAUAAAGACUAUGUGCAUCAUUAAAUGAAUGAACAUAAAAUGUAGUUUUUUGCUUAUAUUAGUGACCGGAGGGUGUAUGCAUUAAGGAAUUGGAAGCACUAAACACUUCAACAGACAAGUACACUUUAUGGCAUAUGUUGAUGUAAGUGGUAAAGAUUUGAUGAUCGUUAAAACAACUUAGGGGACUUAUGUUGAUAUUUACUAUGACAAAGAUUUGUAGUGUGACAAUUUGUGAAUAGUUGUAAUGAGUAUUGUAAUUGGUAGUGUUGGCACAAUUGUGAUGUCUCCAUACUUCUUUCAUUAGUAAUGUUAAUUUUUCAUUAAAUAGCCAAGUUUGAAUGCAAACUUGAUUAUUUUUUUACAAUUAAACAAAUGCAAACUUACAAGGAUGAGGCAAACAGAAAGCUUCAUAAGAAAUCUCUAAAGUAUAUGAUUUUUGGGAUUUGAUAUUCUUGCAUCCAACAUCCACUCUACCAAGA